UCGCAAUGCCCGAAAGGGUGACGAAGCGACGCCGCGUGUGGGAAGAAGGCCUUCGGGUUGUAAACCACUGUCGGGAGUUAAGAAAUGCAAGAAUGUUAAUAGCGUUUUUGCUUGACUAAGGCUCCGGAGGAAGCCACGGCUAACUCUGUGCCAGCAGCCGCGGUAAUACAGAGGCGGCAAGCGUUGUUCGGAAUUAUUGGGCGUAAAGAGCACGUAGGCGGCUAUAUAAGUCGGUUGUGAAAGCCUUCCGCUCAACGGGAGAACAGCGUCCGAUACUGUGUGGCUUGAGUGUGGGAGGGGAGAGCGGAACUUCUGGUGGAGCGGUGAAAUGCGUAGAUAUCAGAAGGAACGCCGGCGGCGAAAGCGGCUCUCUGGCCCAUAACUGACGCUGAGUGUGCGAAAGCUAGGGGAGCAAACGGGAUUAGAUACCCCGGUAGUCCUAGCCGUAAACGAUGGGCACUAAGUAGAGGGGUUUU
rnacentral:rRNA from 1 species